rnacentral:lncRNA from 1 species
AUCAAUAAAAUCUGUUGCGGCAGUACAUGGCUUCUGAAGUGACGAGUAACAGUAAUCAUGCCAGGUUAAUCCAAGCUCAGUCCGUUGGUAUGCCCCAUGGCUGGAUUUGCUUGCUUUGCUGUGUACUGGAGGUGCUCAAUGAAAUCCGUCAGUUUGCUCUUGGUCUUGGAGGAUUACGGAAGAGGAUAUGUAGAUCCUUCCAAUCCCUAGCAAUGUACUAGAAGUUAUAAAUGGUGGUCAGUAUCAGGUAUCAUUUUUUUUCUGAAUCUAGGCAAUCAAAUAUAUCCUCUUGUAUAUAUCCAAUAAAAUUGACAGAGGAAGGCUUAGCUGCUAACCGUUAGGUGAAGUAAGGUUUGUUUCCUAUCUUAUGUAGUUUGUCGAAAAGAAAGGGCUUUCACCACCAUGAGUGUUCCACAAAAAUUAGACUUCAUGCUUGGUAAUACAUGAAGCUACAGUCUUUAUAGAUAUCCUUUAUAGAUCAAGGAUAUACAUUAUCAUCUGCAUUCAUCUGGUGUUUUUUUAUGACAGAUGGUUGUGGCUGAAACCAGACAUCUUCACUGAGAUUUAGAUGGACAGGAUAAGAGUGUCGAGAAAGCAUUGGAAUUCAUAUCAUAAGCCUUUUUCUACAAUAAUGGACUAACAAAAAACAAAGAAAAACAUGGACCUGAAUGUCUAGACAUGAAGUAAUCAAAUAAUUCCAUACCAUGGCUUACUGAUGCAAAUAUGUUGUCUACUAGGUAGUUAUGCAAACAUCUGUUCCACCUAGGUUCUUACUUAUACACACUUGUACUUUCUGUUGUUGUAGUUAAUUAAAAAUGUUUGUUAUUUAAUUUGGUUUCUGAAGAUGCUAUCAUUGUAGUGUUAAUUAGUCUCAAUCUUUUAAUGUAAAAUACUCUUAACUAAUGGUUUGCCAUAUAGCCAUGGAAUAUAUAUAGUUUGGUUCGGGCACCCUGAAAUAAAGUAAAUGUUUUCUUUGUUUGUUUUUUUCUUCCAUAGCAAGGAUUGAAUCAUUAGAACCCAAAAGGGAGUUUCAUGGAAUGUAUAUUCUAUUUGCUGGGCGGGCGGCCUCACUGAAUUGGUUGUCUCUGUUUUUCUGUGCCCUCCUGUGCCAUUGGAUUGGAUGGCGUCAUUGUCGCCGCAGCCACUACAUGUCGGAGCUGUUGCGGGAGCACCAGAAGCUUGUCCUGUUUCACGCAGGUGCUACCAAUCUACAUCAAGCUGUUGGGCCAC